UACGUAGGUGGCAAGCGUUGUCCGGAAUUACUGGGUGUAAAGGGCGUGUAGGCGGGAAGGUAAGUCAGAUGUGAAAUUCCAGGGCUCAACCCUGGCGCUGCAUCUGAAACUAUCUUUCUUGAGUGCUGGAGAGGAAAGCGGAAUUCCUAGUGUAGCGGUGAAAUGCGUAGAUAUUAGGAGGAACACCAGUGGCGAAGGCGGCUUUCUGGACUGUAACUGACACUGAGGCACGAAAGCGUGGGGAGCAAAC
rnacentral:rRNA from 1 species